rnacentral:rRNA from 1 species
UACGAAGGGGGCUAGCGUUGCUCGGAAUCACUGGGCGUAAAGCGCACGUAGGCGGAUCUUUAAGUCAGGGGUGAAAUCCUGGAGCUCAACUCCAGAACUGCCUUUGAUACUGGGGAUCUCGAGUCCGGAAGAGGUAAGUGGAACUCCGAGUGUAGAGGUGAAAUUCGUAGAUAUUCGGAAGAACACCAGUGGCGAAGGCGGCUACUGGUCCGGUACUGACGCUGAGGUGCGAAAGCGUGGGGAGCAAACAGG